rnacentral:rRNA from 1 species
GGCCCAGAUCGUUUACCGUGAAAAAAUUAGAGUGUUCAAAGCAGGCAGAUCCAAUUUUCUGCCACCGAAUACAUUAGCAUGGGAUAAUGGAAUAGGACCCUGUCCUCCUAUUUUCAGUUGGUUUUGGCAGCGCGAGGACUAGGGUAAUGAUUAAUAGGGAUAGUUGGGGGCACUAAUAUUUAAUUGUCAGAGGUGAAAUUCUUGGAUUUAUGAAAGAUUAACUUCUGCGAAAGCAUCUGCCAAGGAUGUUUUCAUUAAUCAAGAACGAAAGUUAGGGGAUCGAAGACGAUCAGAUACCGUCGUAGUCUUAACCAUAAACGAUGCCGACCAGCGAUUAGGAGACGUUGAAUACAAAACACCACCAUCGGUUGCGGUCGUCCUUGGCGUCUCGGUUUCGGCCGGGGCGCGGGGAUGGCUUAGCCCGGUGGCACCGGUGAAUGACUCCCCUAGCAGCUUGUGAGA